CCCCUCCCCCCCGUGCGUUGAGAGGGGGCGGGGCGAGGCUGUUCGCUUGCUGCCCCCCCCUGCGGAAGUGUCGGGGAGCAUGCGGGUUCGGCGCGGCCUCCGAACCGGCUGGCUCGGGGCCGCGUGAGGCGGAGCGGGUGCUGGAGGCACCGCGCUAGACAGCAGCACCCGCGUAAUAUGUGGAGAGCAUUAAAAGACUUAACUCGGAUGGUUUUAAAGGUGAACUGAUUCCUCUGAAUGUGUACCUAAUGAAGAAUUGUCCAUGUAACAGAUGGUGAAACAGGCAGAAUAUAUCCCAGAGAUCUGCAUCGAUAAAACAAAUGUGCGUGUGUACUGAAGAUAUUUAUACAUUUCAUCUUUAAAUUAUUGCAUGGAUUUAGAAGAUGCUCAGCCCCUGAACACAAAUGCAGAAAAGGUGGGCUGUGGACAAGAUAGACAAAGAAAAAUAUAAGGCCAGAUUGCUCUCCUGAUGUUAUCGAGACUUGCCAAGAAUUCACCUGCUCUAUUGGUGUAUAAUAGUUCUGUGGAUGCUAUCUCAAAAUCACAAUGAAUUUACCUCCUUUUCCUGGUAGCUGAGGAAACAGUGGACCAAAUUUUUAACUUCCUUUCUGUGAUUGUUAUGCUUGCCACCAUAACAAGAUUCCAGCAACUCCCAAAACAUUGAGACAGAUAUAACCAGAUGUGUCUGCAUAUUGAACGCCUACAUUAGAGAGUUACAUUUGGACAGCAUAAUUAAAUAUGUCUGGAAGACCACAAAUCCAUGUUUUCUUUGGAGCACCCAUCAUUCCAACUCAACUGGAGGUGUAUGAGAAAAAGUGUUCUUCAACAGCUGAUGAACCAUGGAAAGAACUGCAUCUUUCCUAUUGUGGGCAUGCCUUAAGCUUUUCUUCUGAGAAAGUAAAAGAAACUGGCCAUGUAGAACUUCAAGCAACAAACUCUGUGGACCUGACUCUUCACAUCAAAAAUCAAUUUUCUUUGACCUCUGGACAGAGGAGAUUUGAGGUUGCAGAAGAUUGUGUUCCAGUAAUAGGAAGCAUGGAAAUUCUUGACAGUGCACCUACCAGAACUGGUGAUCUAACUUACUCUGAUUAUCAGAAAUCUAAAGAUAGAGAAAUAUACAAAAAUCAAGUUGCAUAUCAACAGCUUCCUCAGAUAUUUACAAAAACAGAAAAGCACCAUAGAAAACUAUCAAAGGACUGUUUUUCAAACCACACUGAAAGUGAUACCAGACAUAUGGAAGACAACUGCUGUGAUAUUUCUGAUUUGAUUUCCAGCACCAAACAGAUUAGCAUACAUCUAAAAUCUGUGGGACAAGAAGAUGUUACAUCAGAACUGAAUAGUGUUAAUCAUGAACAUCUGAGUCAGUAUCUGGAGAUGUGUUUUCCCAUGAAAUUAGGAGAGUCAAAAACAAAAAUAGUUAAGAAUGAUUGUUUAAACCUUGCAGUAUCAACAGACACUGAAUUUCUUAGUAUAAUGACCUCAAGUCAAGUUGCCAUUUUUGCACAAAAAACAUUUAAAAAAGAAGCUACACAACUAAGUGGAAUAGAAACAGGAACAACGUGUGUUGAAAGAAAAGCAGCUUUAAGUCAAACCUUUAAAUUGAACAAUAAUACUGGAAAAUGCAUUAGUGUGACUGAAACGGAAUAUAGACAAGAGUCUUCCAAGUCUCGGGGACUGUUCAGUUCUGAAGGUGCCAGAAAAACUAGCUGCUUUGAGUCUACAAAAAAACCAGAUUCCUGUGAAAAUACGAAAAGGUCCCCACAGCUCUUUAGUGUUCCUGAACAACUUCUGAAUGAGAUCCAUAUUGAACCACUGAGCACAGGACUACUGUGCUCCCAAGUAAAUUAUUCUCAUAAAUUCUCUUCUAAAAGAGCCCGAACAUUUGAAGAUACUCCAAGUAUUUGUAAUUCGGUACCUAAACCCGAAAACUCAAAGAAAGCUAAAUUGUCUUGUUCUUCAACUAGUCCUGGAAUAAUAGCAGAUCGAGAGAAAGUAUCAGAAUUUGGGAAACUCCAGAAGAAUCCAUUAUUACUUAAAAACUGCUGUUGCAAAAGUCAGAAAUAUGUUAUUUUGGUUGCAGUAAUACAUCCUUGUCAUGUAAAAGAAAUUCUAAUCAAGUCAAGAUCAAAAUUUUCCUCUAAAGUUCCCAUAGCAACUAUUGUUGUUAUCGACCAGUCAGAAGUAGAAAGAAAGGUUGUGCUGUGGCGAGCUGCUGCAUUUUGGUCACUCACAGUGUUCCCUGGUGAUAUUGUACUACUCACAGAUGUCACUGUGCAUGAGAACCUUUGGUUUGGGGAGAUGAUGCUACAGUCAACCUUUGCCAGUCGGUUAUUAAAUCUGGGGAGCUGCUCAGCUAUUAAUCCCAAAGAAUUUUCUCAUGUAGUAGACGUUGGUGUUCUCCAGGAUUUACUGGCAUAUGUAUCUUCAAAAUUUACCUACCUCAGAGAUCUUCCACACAUGCAUCCCCAGAAAUGGAAUAAUAUACAGCAUGUUCAACUAGACCAACUUCAGCAAGAUACAUUGGUUCAUUCAGUAUUAAAAAUCAUCAGCAUCUCCAUACUAACAGAAGCUGUGUACAGUUACAAGGGAGAAAAGCAAAGAAAAGUUAUUCUAACAGUGGAACAGAUCAGAGAUCAACCUUAUAUAAUGGUACUGUGGGGUGCAGGGGCAGCUUGGUACCCUCAACUACAGAAGAAAAAAGAGGCAGAAAAGGAUCUUGGAGUCAUCAUUGAUGCCAAAAUGAACAUGGGCCGACAGUGUGGGGACAUGGUCAGGAAGGCCAAUCGCACCUUGUCAUGCAUCCACAGGUGCAUCUCAAGCAGGUCCAAGGAAGGUGAUCCUCCCCCUCUAUGCGACACUGGUCAGGCUGCAGUUGGAGUACUGUGUCCAGUUCUGGGCGCCACGCUUCAGGAAGGAUGUGGACAACAUGGAGAGGGUCCAGAGGAGGGCCACUCGCAAAAGACUAUAAAAUACAAAGUGGUUUAUUCUCUGCUAUAAUGCUGAAUAAGUGUCUUAAUAUGCUUUAAAGCAGCACUUCUCAAAGUGGUGGUCCGCGGACCACUGCCGGUCCGUGAGCCACCGGUUGCUGGUCCGCAGCGAGUUGCCAGGAAAGAAAGAAAUAUAUUUUCAGAAGCAUAACAUUGAUAUGUCAUAGUGCCACAGUUUGUACAUUCCAACGCUCCAGGUGAUGUCAUGUUGUGCGAGGUGAAGAAAGAGAAAGAAACAGCCGGUCGCACAUUUGUGUAGCGCUGUUACAUGCAGUUGCUGCCACUGGCUGAACCAGGCACCGGUCCCUGGCCCAGUGAAAAAAAAAUUGCUGGUCCACCACAUCAGAUAGUUUGAGAAGCACUGCUUUAAAGGACAUGAAAAAUUAGUAUUGUGGAGCAAUAGGUGUUGCAAAAAUUACUUUUGUAUGUGCCUCGACAAAAUUGAAAGAAGUGCUAAAAUAACCUUAACUGCUAAAGAAAAGUGAUUUUCUCAUUAGAGAAAAGCCAAUGUGAAAUAGUUCAGCAAUAGUCAAACAUUUUAUAAAUGAGUUUGAAAAUGUGAAAAAUAGCAGUAUAAUAAGGAGACUUAAACCCUGCAACAGAUUUUAAAACCCAAUCAAAAAGUUGAGGAAAACUGGGAAUGCUGGCAGUGCAGUUUUUCCCUCAGAACAGUAAAUGUGGAAACUCUGCAAAUUCCCAAAUAAGGUCAUAAAAGCAAAUAGAUUGAAAGAUACAACAGCUGAGCAGACAAGUGGCCAAGCACAUAGGGAAUGUUAAAAUAUGCUUCGGUGGUCUGAUCUAAAGCCAUUGAAGCCUAUGAAAAGUCUAUGAUUAACGUUUUUUGCAUCUGUGGCGGAGCACAGGGUGCUCCUGCCACUUUAAGGGCCUGGAGCUGGCAGCCUCCAGGUGCCUGAUUACGGCAGCCAUUUUGAGGCUUAUAUAAACCAGGCAGUUGGGCUGCAGGAGGUCAGGUAGCAACAUUGCCUGGCUGUAGGGCUGCUGUGUAUGACCUGGAGAUCACCUCUGGGAAUUUAAAAACCUCUUUGUCCAAUGUAGUUCUAUCUCGGGUACCUUUGAGUUGCACACAACUCCUUGGUCAU